rnacentral:rRNA from 1 species
GACGGGUGAGUAACGCGUGAGUAACCUGCCUUACGCAAGGGGAUAGCCGUUGGAAACGACGAAUAAUACCCUAUGAAACUAUCACUUCGCAUGAAGCGAUAGUCAAAGUGUUAGCGGUGUAAGAUGGACUUGCGUCUGAUUAGCUAGUUGGUGAGAAAAAGACCCACCAAGGCAACGAUCAGUAGCCGGCUUGAGAGAGUGUACGGCCACAUUGGGACUGAGACACGGCCCAG